GAUGAAGAACGUAGCGAAAUGCGAUAAGUAAUGUGAAUUGCAGAAUUCAGUGAAUCAUCGAAUCUUUGAACGCACAUUGCGCCCUCUGGUAUUCCGGGGGGCAUGCCUGUUCGAGCGUCAUUAUAACCACUCAAGCCCCCGGGCUUGGUGUUGGGGAUCGGCGAGCCUCCGCGCCCGCCGUCCCCUAAAUCUAGUGGCGGUCUCGCUGUAGCUUCCUCUGCGUAGUAGCACACCUCGCACUGGGAAACAGCGCGGCCACGCCGUUAAACCCCCAACUUCUGAACGUUUGACCUCGGAUCAGGUAGGAAUACCCGCUGAACUUAAGCAUAUCAAUAAGCGGAGGA
rnacentral:misc_RNA from 1 species